CGAUCAACCCUGCCCCCUCCCCCCGCCUUCUCUCUCCUGCGCCUGGAGUAUUUAAAGCAAAUCUGUUCUCAUUUCAUGGAAGGGGUGGGGGCAAGAGAUGCUGGAGCCGGGCUCUGUAGACAGCCUUCUGUCGCUGGUAAAUGAGGACACGGCGUGUGGCGGAGGGGGACGCUGUCCUGGGACACGGGGAGCCUUCUUUGGGCCGGAUGGAGGAGGCCGCAGGGGAGGUCCUGCCUCUCCUCUGGGCAGGGCUUGUUAGGCACCGACGGGGUUGUCCUAGCGAGAGAGAGAGAGGGAGACCAGAGUUGGGACCCACAGAGCCUCUUCUGCGGGGCUCGGGCUUCAGUCCCGGAGGAGAGGAGACCUUGAAGGAGCUGGGCUUCCGCUCCGGUUGGGGCUUGAACUUGCUGCUGGGCUCCGGCUGCUUUCAAGGACACGGGGAGAUGAGCAGGACUUUGGGAGCCAACAUCUGCCUGCCUGGUGACGUCAGCAGCCCCGUGUAAUCCUCUUGUACUGGAGGCAGAUGCCUUAUUUGUUUGGCUGGAGAGCCAUUAAUCCCUAAUUCUGGAGCAGCGAGCGAGGCGCGCGCACACGCCGACCGGACCGCUCCGGACCUUCUCCUUCCGAAAGAGACCGCUGGCUGGCUUCGCGGUACCCCGGCGGGCUGCGGCGGGCUGGCUGAAGGACAUCGGCGAUGAUCCAGGAGGCCUCUGGGGCACGCUCUACAUCCCGCGUCCUCCCAGAAGCCGGGGCUUCGGUGCCACCGCCUCUUGGAAGAGGAUGCUCUUCAGAGUGCCCAUUCCAGUUGAGAUCCAAACGGAGCAUCGCGUCCGCUGACAAAUACGCAUUCUGGCGAAACUUCAAGGCUCUCGGCAGAGGUCAACUUGCCUCGGGUUCGGGCUCGUUUCUUUGGCUGCUGACCGCACUGAGUCCGGGUAAAGCCUCCCUGCACAACAGCCCUUCUGCCCUCAGAACCGACUCCGGAUUUGAUGAUGCUCGUUUAAACGCUUCCAAGUUACAAACAGUAGCGGUGUUUCUGUUUUUGAGUUGCCUCGCUCUUCCUCCUCCUCCUCCUCCUCCUCCUCCUCCCCCCCUCCUAUUCCUACGCCACAGUCACUGUAGCCAGGCCAGAUGGGCUGUCCAAAGCCUCCCGGGAAUGGGCAGGUGCUACUGAGUUAAUGUUUUCCGCUUUACAAAGCAAGUCGACACGCACCCUGCCCCUUUCAUUUGUGCAGAUUUCAUCUAUAUCUAUAUCUAUGUCUAUAUCUAAAAGCCUUCCAUAAUCGAGAAGAGUUGGAGAUGCUUAAAUCUCUCUUUCGUGCUGCCAGUGGCCAAGGGUGGCUCUGAUGACGGGGGCAGGCAAAAUCCCAUAGUCUUCAGCUGCAAUCAGGGCAAAGCCGUAUCAUACUGUGGCCUUCGUAAUCAGGAGGCGGGGCCAGGGGGUGAAUACACAAUUCAGAGCUUGCCACAUUAGAGCAGCUUAAGGAGGUAACUGUAACGAGAGAGAAGAAGGCUUUAAAGAAACUCCUGGCCGAUGGAACCGGCAGAUGGACUAGCAAGCAGCCUCGAAUUCAAAGCCAGGCCUGGAGGAUAAUGGUGGGAGAAGGAGAGGGAGGAGGGGUCCACUUGCCUUUUUCUUUCUUUUUUUUAAAGGUCGCUUGCGAUAUUGUUUGCAGAAGGAGAUAAAGAGAUCCGAGGCUGUGCCUCUCCGUGUUCACAGCGGACCUUGAUUUAAUGUCAUACAAUUAAGGCACGCGGUGAAUGCCAAGAGUGGAGCCUGAAGACGCCGUUGAAGAACUGAGCUGACACACAUAUCCGGAGGAAAAACAGUGCGGGUGUUGGAGGGUGGGUUCCUCAACAAUGCAGAUUCUUCUACCGCAAUGUAGGUUCAAUGGGAAAGCGCUGCCACUGCUAAACCUAGUCGUGGUGUAAGGCGCGGUUAUCAUUAAAGAAGCGGUUAUCUUUAAAAGUACAGCGGGAUGUCUUACCAAUAACAGGUAGGUUAUGAAUUUUGGUUGUUGUCUUUCCCAAGCUUCUUGUCGAAACCAUGUAAAGGCGAUGAAAGGGAAAUAAAUACAUUUGAUAAUA